AUAAGUCUUUGUAUCUGCUGUUUCCUUUACCUGGGCUGCUCUGGUCAUUGAUUUUCUUGCGGCUGACUCCGUAUCAUUUAGGUUUCACUUCAGAUGUCACCGUUUCAGUGGAGGUUUUCUCACUGAUCUAGAUGCUCCCUACCUUAAUACUCUCUCAUAUUACCAUGUUUUAUUUUCUUUUUAGUUAUCACUCUGUUAAGUUGUUGCUCAUUUGUUUAGUAUUUAUUUCUAUCUCCAUCAG
rnacentral:lncRNA from 10 species